CUUCGUCCUCUCGGUCAUCUUUGACGAUCCCUUCAUCGAUACUUUCCAGCCUCAGUCUCUGACCGUCCAGGUAUCUGGGUCUUGGCGUUGCCCUGGUCAUAAACAGUCCCCCCGGCAGACCCAGAUCCUCCCCAAACAGGGGGGAAUGACAGAUACCUUUGGCAUGCUCCACCUGAUCUUCAAAGGUGACCGAGCUCCUCCUCUUCCCGGACGGAUUCCCAUGAUGCUGUGGGUGGGAGGAGCCAUCUGUGGAGAAGUUAUCCAGCAGCAUCACGUCCGUGCCUGUGUGGGAAACAUUACAGUGUACAGAAACCAUCUUAAUGAGUUUAAUGAUCAAGACAUUUAUUUGUAUUACACAUGACAUUACUUGCCCUGCCCAUGCCAUCCUGACCUGAAAACAUGAGCUGUGAAACAGGAAUGUGAGGCUGACUGUAACAAGGCUGUGGCAGUAUGAAGCAAUAGAGUUAGUAAGACCAUCUGAUAGCCUUUUGAAGCCCAUGAAUCACUUUAUCUCCAUUUUAUGUUCAAGUUAAGAUCAACAGUCACGUUUUCAAAAGUAGGAAGGCCAAAGUUUAAUAGCAUGAACGUAUGUCAGCAAAGACGCAACUUGGUACCUGGUGUCAAAAUGGACCUGGUUCCAGCUUCUCAAAUGUGAUAACAUGCAUGUUAUGAAGAAUUUAAUACAUUUGGGUUUUCGACUGUUGGUCAAACAAAACAAGUCAUAUAUGAAGAUGUCACCUCGGGCUCUGUGUAAUCUGUGAUGACCCUUUUUCACCAUUUUAUAGAGUAAAUGUUUAAUCAUAAAAAAGUAAAUGAUUGCUAGUAGUGGUAGAUUUACAGAUUUUAUGGUAAAGACUUUUAAGCAAACUCAACUACAGCUGAAACCAUUAGUCAAUUACUGGGAAAUAAAUGUGGGCCAAUUUUGAUUAGUAAUUGAGUGUCAUUUCUAUUUUUAAAGCAAAUCAAAUAUUAUCUUGUUCCAGCUUCUCAACAACAGUAUUUUCACUGUUAGUUGGACAAGUCAUUUGAUUAUGGUCAAUUUUCUUUUUAUUGAUUAAACAAUCAGUAGAGUAAUCAGUCCUGUUUUUCUGUUCUGUUAGAAACAAUUUCUUAGCAGGAAGCACAGAACACCUUUGUGUCUAUUGGUCUAUGAUGUGUUAGCAAGCGAAUAACUUAUUACAGGUAUGACACUAUGACUAGUUAAAGCUUGCAGAUUGUAAGACACAUCGCUGGUUGUACGGUCACUGAUUACUGAUGCUAUUUUAUUGGAUUCAAACAAUUUUUUUACAUUGGGAAUUCCAAUACGUGUAAAUUUAGGUUGUUAGGAGAUUCACAAUGUCGCUAAUUCUUAUACCUUCAGUUUACUGUCGAGCCCUGAUAUCAGAUAUUGAAUGGAGUAUAUGUUAGUAGUUUCACACGGGGUAUCAAACAGAAGUACUUUAGUGGAACCAGAUGUUUUCCUGACAUAACAUGUAGAUGUAGAUGUGUAGAUAAUACAUACUUAUUCUUAGCAGGUUUUGAAGUGUGUAUGUAGUGUGUUCACACUGGAAAAAUGACUAAAUAAAGUAUAUUUAAACAGUCA